rnacentral:rRNA from 1 species
UGCAUGGCUGUCGUCAGCUCGUGUCGUGAGAUGUUGGGUUAAGUCCAGCAACGAGCGCAACCCUUAUCCCCAGUUGCCAUCAUUUAGUUGGGCACUCUGGUGAAACCGCCUCGGAUAACGGGGAGGAAGGUGGGGAUGACGUCAAGUCCUCAUGGCCUUUAUGUCCAGGGCUACACACGUGCUACAAUGGCCGGUACAAACCGUCGCAAACCCGCGAGGGGGAGCUAAUCGGAAAAAGCCGGCCUCAGUUCGGAUUGCAGUCUGCAACUCGACUGCAUGAAGCUGGAAUCGCUAGUAAUCGCGGAUCAGAAUGCCGCGGUGAAUACGUUCCCGGGCCUUGUACACACCGCCCGUCACAUCACGAAAGUGGGUUGCACUAGAAGUCGGUGAGCUAACCGCAAGGGAGCAGCCGCCCAAGGUGUAAUUCAUGAUUGGGGUGAAGU